GCAUGUGUGAGCAGUCUGGCUUAACAUCUAUCACCACAUUGUGUCUGGGACUGAUUCAGCUGAUCUGGAUGGCUAGUAAGUGUUCCCUUCCUCCCUCACCACCUGAAGCUAUGCACAUGGUUGAAAGAAAAGACCUUCCCCACACAGAGGAGAAGCAGUCUUUGGUCAGGGUAUACAAGAGCUGUACUCUCCCAGUAGAGUUUCAAAAAAGGCUCUCAAAUGUCUUAAAUGUGAUUUAUAGCCUCAUUUUCUAAAAACAACAAAUAAAGCAUAAGCCAGUAUCAUAAGCCACCUUUCUU
ensembl:misc_RNA 7SK 7SK RNA